GAUGAACGCUGGCGGCGUGCCUAAUACAUGCAAGUCGAGCGAACAGACGAGAGUGCUUGCACUCUCUGACGUUAGCGGCGGACGGGUGAGUAACACGUGGGUAACCUACCUAUAAGACUGGGAUAACUUCGGGAAACCGGAGCUCAUACCGGAUAAUAUUUAGCUUCGCAUGAAGCAAUAGUGAAAGACGGUUCUGCUGUCACUUAUAGAUGGACCCGCGGUGUAUUAGCUAGUUGGUGAGGUAACGGCUCACCAAGGCAACGAUACAUAGCCGACCUGAGAGGGUGAUCGGCCACACUGGGACUGAGACACGGCCCAGACUCCUACGGGAGGCAGCAGUAGGGAAUCUUCCGCAAUGGACGAAAGUCUGACGGAGCAAUGCCGCGUGAGUGAAGAAGGUUUUCGGAUCGUAAAACUCUGUUGUAAGGGAAGAACAAGUACGUUAGUAACUGAACGUACCUUGACGGUACCUUACCAGAAAGCCACGGCUAACUACGUG
rnacentral:rRNA from 1 species